AGUGGUGUGAGUGAAUGAUUUUGUGGUGCUUAACUACCUGCUGGGUUAAACCACAACAAGGGACCCAUCAGAUCCCCUUGACAUCACACUAAGGCACUGCCCCACUUCAUCACAAUGGCUGAGUGAGUCAUGAACUCCACAGGGCAGCUGCAUGAACAUCAUGAGAGAGUGUAGGUCAACAACUGCCAUGCAUUGAUUAAGCCCAACUGGAUCACCUGACUGAUGCUGAAAACUGAUGCAGAUGAGAAGCUAUUCUUCAAGUAGAGCUUCAUGCUGGGUGUUAGUGGGGGACUGCUGCUCCAAGCAAGGUUAACUGCUACCCAGAUCUGAGCACCCCCACCUGAAGCUCAAUAAUCUACAGUUUCCCAGAAGUGCUGCUGUGCAACCCCCAUAAUGCCAAGAAGUACAACAUUUGAAACAUGGAGGUGGUCCUUUUCAUCACGAUGACUGGCUACAUGCAGAAAUCUUGUAAACUGUUCUCAAAUUCCUUUAUCAAAAUGGGAAGCGUUGACAGUAUAUUUUCUUCUGUUCACAGUACUGUUUGCUCAGUCUAUCAAAAUGCAUAAAAUUAGUUGCCAUACUUUGA